rnacentral:tRNA from 1 species
ACAGUGGUGGUUCAGUGGUAGAAUUUUCGCCUUCCAUGUGGGAGACCGGGGUUUAAUUCCUGGCCAAUGUA